rnacentral:rRNA from 1 species
UGAGGAAUAUUGGUCAAUGGGCGAGAGCCUGAACCAGCCAAGUAGCGUGCAGGAUGACGGCCCUAUGGGUUGUAAACUGCUUUUAUAUGGGAAUAAAGUGAGGGACGUGUCCCUUAUUGCAUGUACCAUACGAAUAAGGACCGGCUAAUUCCGUGCCAGCAGCCGCGGUAAUACGGAAGGUCCAGGCGUUAUCCGGAUUUAUUGGGUUUAAAGGGAGCGUAGGCUGUUUGUUAAGCGUGUUGUGAAAUGUAGGAGCUCAACUUUUAGAUUGCAGCGCGAACUGGCAGACUUGAGUGCGCACAACGUAGGCGGAAUUCAUGGUGUAGCGAUGAAAUGCUUAGAUAUCAUGACGAGCUCCGAUUGCGAAGGCAGCUUACGGGAGCGCAACUGACGCUAAAGCUCGAAGGUGCGGGUAUCGAACAGG